UGACAAGGGUCUAAUCCUGGUAUUUCUGCCUGACAUGCAGAACAGAGCAACAUGAGAAAGCAGAGAAAAGCUCAAAGGUCUCCCAGCUGCACACCACACAGGCCUUGGACACACCUUCCUCUCAAACAUCCAUCAACCUCGUGAAUAAAGAUGCAAAAAAUGCUAGAACCAAAAUUAAGACAUCCAUGAAGACACUGCUUCAUAUAAACCCUCCUCACCUGCCAGAAGCCUUCCAGAAGCUUCGGUUGCUCCAGCUUCAUAAGUUGAUGAACGGUUGGAAAUUUUAGUGCUGAAGAUGUUUGUACCUGCAUGUACGGAACUGGUGUUUGGCCACUGCCCCAAGGCAGCAGCACAGGACAGCAGGCAGUGUUAGAUUCAUCGGCACUGCUCUGGGUGGGGCUCCCAUCCCGGUGUGAUGCCCGCGGUGUUCCAGCCCACAGAAUGCAUG